CUUUUCAGAAGGACAAUCACCACAACUUAAUGAUGCGAAGAGUCAAUUCCGCUGUUAAUCAUCAACCAAAAACCUUGAAUUCUUCAGCUGGAAACAUCACUCAACAUCAUCGCCUCAAUGAUGAAAGCCGAUUUGAUGUGAUCAAGGACAAAAAGGUUGCAUCCCCAGAAAACGAAGUAGAUCCUCUUUCAAAUGCUGGAAGAGUUGCAUUGUCCAAAAAAUAUCGUACAGCUCGUAACCCCAAUUCUGAUACUCCCAAAACUUCAGAGUAUGCUUUCUUCAAGAAGUUGAAAAAGAACAUUGGCCAUAGCAAUUCAGAUCUUCUCCAUAGAGGGAGUAGACUACCCAAGAUCACUCAACCUAGUAAUUGUAUCUCAGACACACGGAGCACAUACAACGUGCUGAAGUGCCUAAAUAAGGAUGUUAACAUCCCAAUUCAAGUUGAAAAGGAACAUCAGACUAAUGAAUGCCAGUCCUUUUCACCUGUUGAUGGUGUCAUAGGCAUAUCCAAGGAGGCAAAACUUAAGUACUUUUCAUCCCCAACUGUAGUGACUCCUGUAUAUUCAAAUUUGCUGCUGUCACCCCUUGCAGGUCCAUCACAUAAUUCAGGGAGCCAGUACUCUGGUAAUGGGAUUUUUGCAGCAAAGAGGCAGAAACUUUGUCAGCGGGCAAAUAAACUGUUUCUUGACGUCCAAAAACUCAAUUCUGAAAGGUUUGAUUUGGUUUCUGCACUUCUUAGGCGGCUGUUUCCUGGAAGGAAGGAGGAUGAAGAUUUCUGGGAUUCACAGGUCAGGAAAGGGGAAAUAGCAAGUACGAGCUCACUUGCAAAUGCUAAGCCAGAUCAUGCAAAGACACGACCUCCUUCAAGGCACAUAGAACAUGUUGUAGCACCAGAAUAUAGGAUGAGCCUGAGUGAUUGCUGUCCCAGUAAUUUCUUUGGUAGGCCAAAGGAGAGAGUUCCCCCAGAGUUGCACUAUGAAGAUGCAGAUAAUAGUCAAAUUUCAAACAACAAAAUAACUACAAGUUUGUGGGAUCAGAGUGAUUCAUUGCCUUCAUUAUCCUUUGACCAUCAUGGGCUUGCUGAUUUCCUACCGUAUAGACUUCAUAGUGCAGAUACACCUGUAAGUAGAGGAGCACAAGACUUAUUCUUAGAUUGGGAUUUCAAUGAGAAGAAAAAUGAUCCUGUAUUAGCCAUUACUACUAUCAGAGGGAAUAAAUUGUGUUCACCAAUAGCCACCUCAUGGCACGUUGAUUACCAGCAGCAGAGUACAGAAAAGAAGCUUGAUGCGCUGGCAUUGUGUUCAUCGUCUUUAUUUAUGAACUCUGGAUAUUCUGAUGUGCUGCCAUAUUCUUGUUCAACAAGCUUUCAUAAGAAACUCUUUCCAACUGACAUCUUCUCCAAGGAAUUUGGAACGACUCUUGAACAUGAAGAAUAUGCAGUUGCAAGAAUGGACCGGUUUGAUCUACCCUUGCUAUGUAGCUCAGAGGAGCAAGAUCUUCUGGAAGAUCGUAAUCCUGAGAAUCCAUUUGAAAGCAGCAAUGCAAUCAUCCCAUAUCUAAGUCAUCAUGAGAAGCAUCAUUGUGAUUCUGAUGGCCUCAUGCCAAUGGCCUUGGAUACUUUUGGCUGGAAGUUCUUGUCAGCUGCCAGUUCCCCAUUGCACAAGGGUUUAUCAACCUAUAAUGCUUUAAGACUGCCUCAUAUAGAAGAUUCAAUUGGUCUAACACAUGAGGAGAUCAAAAACAGCUUAUAUGAUUCAAACCCAAGAGAAAUUGCUCCUCAAUCAGUUGAACGUGCACUCAACUCUGACAUUUGGUUCUCGUGCAACUCUGAAGUGUUUUCUGACAAAGCAAGUGGCAGAUCUCUAUUACUUGAUAAUUCAAGUUGGAUUACAUCUGUUGAAGAAAUUUCCCCUGAUCAUUCUGAUGAAUGGACAUGGAGCUGAAGAUUCGCAUAAAUUUCUGUGGGUCCUAUUAUCAUAUGAUGGAAUGGCAGGAUUGCCCCCUAACCCACUGAAGGUCACCAUGUUCUGGAAGUAUUCAAUGCCAAAUACACAGUGCUUAAUGGUAACAAAUGGCUUGCCUGGCUUGGAAACAGGUAAUUCCCCAAAUUAAGGUCUGUAGCUGGGCAUGUAGUAGGAAAUUGGUUUUGGAGGUUGCAAAUAAAAAAACUUAGUAGUUCUGGUAUUUUGCUUUCCUAGGUUUCAUUCACUAAGUAAACAAAUGUCUCAUAGGUAUCUAUGCUUCCACCCCAGGAUGUCGGUCUAGAGAUAAAAAUGCCAGGCAUGACGUGUGUGGACAAGAAGCACAUCAUGGGUUUGAAACCUGCCACAGACAAAAGCCUAGUAUGUUAGUGGAGAAGGAUAGAGGGGCAGGUCCAUUAUCCACCAACUACCAAGUCUCUUAUCCUGCAAUACUAGGACCUCAGGGAUUUCUCGAUUACUAGAAAAUAGGUACUUAGUAUUAUAUAGCAUUUACUGAUGGCACUUUCUGAACAACAUUUACUCAUUAGUUUUCUUUUACCAUAUAUAGAAUGUGACAUUGCAUAGCCUGUUUAACUGGGAAAAGGCAAGGAGAGUGAAAGCUACAAGUAAUUAUAUCCAAAUCUAGAGGGUUGGUAAUUUCUCAUUACAGUACAACUUGUUUGUAUAGGGAAACUGUUAGGAGCUUUCGAAUUUUGUUCUAUACCAUUUCAUACAAUUAGUUGUACUCUUUCUCGGUUCUCAAAACCAUUUUUGUCUUUGCUUGAAUUUUGAAUUAUCAUGCAAGGGUGGCGAAAGUUA